rnacentral:rRNA from 1 species
CAGCAGCCGCGGUAAUACGUAGGGUGCAAGCGUUAAUCGGAAUUACUGGGCGUAAAGCGUGCGCAGGCGGUGAUGUAAGACAGUUGUGAAAUCCCCGGGCUCAACCUGGGAACUGCAUCUGUGACUGCAUUGCUGGAGUGCGGCAGAGGGGGAUGGAAUUCCGCGUGUAGCAGUGAAAUGCGUAGAUAUGCGGAGGAACACCGAUGGCGAAGGCAAUCCCCUGGGCCUGCACUGACGCCCAUGCACGAAAGCGUGGGGAGCAAACAGGAUUAGAUACCCCAGUAGUCCCUGUCUCUUAUAC